rnacentral:lncRNA from 1 species
UUAAAAUGCAGUGGAGCUUCUGAGGCAAGAAUUGAUGAGAUGAUUUGAGGAAGUGCUUGCUGUGCUUUCUCAUAUGCCUCUCAUGGUCAUUUUUGUCUGUUUUAUUACAGUAGCAUCAUCUGUGCAUGGAAGCCCAGCUUUCAUAGUUCUGGUUACAUUUAUGCAGCACAGUUCUUUAUUUAAAUCUAAAAAAUAUCUUCAUGUCCAUCACAUGCUGCCCUGGCAUUGUCCAGGAGUGUGCCCUGGUCUUCCUGCCAGUGCCUGCCUGAUAGACUGUUACAGACAUGUUCUAAAGGAGGGGCUUUCCCUGUGUUUUUUUUGAGGGCCGCAUCUAAGACCGUCUUGGAUUCUAAUCAUCCACUGCUAGAGAUGAGACAACCUAAAUGCUGGGAAUGAGACAUCAAACUUUAGCAGACAUAGGGCUGAAACCAUGUCACUGUGACACACACAAGUCGUAAUGUGUAGCCACCCUUCCC